UCCUCGGGCAGGGUGUGACACAGGUUUCUUCUUGUCUUGAGGAUGAGUGAAGAAGCCCACAGCCACAUGGGUAUUUUCGCAGCUUCCCAUGGGGGAAAGGCUGACCCUGGAUAGAAUGGCAGGAGAAUUUAAUUUUAGGAUUUGGGAAGAAGGAAUUAUUGUUAAGUAUCUCAGAAGAAUCAAGAUUUGGGAGCAGGAAGUGAAGACUUAUCCAAAUUAAAGAUUGUGCUAAUUUAUUACAACCAUGUAUACUGAAAACAAGCAUGUUGGGGAAGAUUAACGAGCAAGAAUUGAAAUCAUUCACGAAGAGAAGCUUUGGACUAAAACCCAUCUGCCAGAUAAGCCAAUAAAUGUCCCUCUCAUCAAGUGAUUGGGACUGGGAUGGAGCUGGAAUUUGGCCCUAAUGUUGCAUGUGUAAAGAAGAUGGAGAUAUGUCAAGAAGACACAGGAUUCUUCUUGAAAGGAUUCCCACUGGGAAAACUGGGAUAAUUUAAACAUCAAAAUGACAAAUGACAGAAGUGGUUAUAACAUAUUAGAGGGAACAAAUAUAUUUUCUGAUAUUUUGAAAAAUCAAGGUGGGAAGAAGAAUGGAACACUCCUCUUUA
rnacentral:lncRNA from 1 species